rnacentral:rRNA from 1 species
GACGAACGCUGGCGGCGUGCUUAACACAUGCAAGUCGAACGGUAAGGCCCUUCGGGGUACACGAGUGGCGAACGGGUGAGUAACACGUGGGUGAUCUGCCCUGCACUUCGGGAUAAGCCUGGGAAACUGGGUCUAAUACCGGAUAGGACCACUGCCUGCAUGGGUGGGGGUGGCAAGCUUUUGCGGUGUGGGAUGGGCCCGCGGCCUAUCAGCUUGUUGGUGGGGUGAUGGCCUACCAAGGCGACGACGGGUAGCCGGCCUGAGAGGGUGACCGGCCACACUGGGACGGAGAUACGGCCCAGACUCCUACGGGAGGCAGCAGUGGGGAAUAUUGCACAAUGGGCGCAAGCCUGAUGCAGCGACGCCGCGUGAGGGAUGACGGCCUUCGGGUUGUAAACCUCUUUCAGCACCGACGAAGCGCAAGUGACGGUAGGUGCAGAAGAAGGACCGGCCAACUACGUGCCAGCCGCCGCGGUAACAC